CAGGCGCAGGCGUGCGCCUGCGCGCGGCUCAAGAGAAGCGGACCCGUGGAGGGCGGUGAUCUCAGGUGGUCCCGCAUGGGUGGAGAAGGCGAGUGGGAUGAGAUGCAGGAGUGGACUCAUGACCGUAUGUUCCACGGUAUUAUAUAUUAUACCAACCAAAAACUGCCAACCGGAUAAAGCAUCAAAAGGCCCUUUGAAGACACAGCUAACAUGCCAGGUUGGAGGCCAUACUUUGCAAGGCUGGAAUGCCAUCCUCUAGGAUACAGUAAUCCUUUGAAUAAAAAUUAAGUGAAAAAUAUAAAUUUAUAAAUCCCAGAAGUUCCAUGAACUCUAAGAAGGAUGAAUAACAAAGAAAACUACAGGGAGGCACAACAUAAUAAAACUGUCUUAAAGCAAAUAUAAAGAGAGAUUUGUGAAAGAAGAUGUAUAAAUGACAAAAAUGAUUGCCGACUUGUCAUUAAAAAAUUGAAAGACUGAAGACAAUUGAACAACAUACUUACAGGGCUGAAAGAAAAGAAAUAAAGAGUAACCCCAAAUUAUUCAUCCAGUAAAAAAUCCUUCAAUAACGAGAGCCAAAUGAAGAUAUUUUUAGAUUAAAAAGAGAGUUUAUCAUCAUCAGAAGACCUUAACUACAAAGAAUGCUAAAGGAAUUUCUGCAGGCCGAAGGGAAAGAUAUCAAAUGAAAACAUUUUUAGGAAGAAAAGAAGUAUGCACAAAACA